GAUGAACGCUGGCGGCGUGCCUAAUACAUGCAAGUCGAGCGAACAGACGAGGAGCUUGCUCCUCUGACGUUAGCGGCGGACGUGUGAGUAACACGUGGAUAACCUACCUAUAAGACUGGGAUAACUUCGGGAAACCGGAGCUAAUACCGGAUAAUAUAUUGAACCGCAUGGUUAAUUAGUUAAAGACGGUUUUGCUGUCACUUAUAGAUGGAUCCGCGCCGCAUUAGCUAGUUGGUAAGGUAACGGCUUACCAAGGCAACGAUGCGUAGCCGACCUGAGAGGGUGAUCGGCCCCACUAGAACUGAGACACGGUCCAGACUCCUACGGGAGGCAGCAGUAGGGAAUCUUCCGCAAUGGGCGAAAGCCUGACGGAGCAACGCCGCGUGAGUGAUGAAGGUCUUCGGAUCGUAAAACUCUGUUAUUAGGGAAGAACAAAUGUGUAAGUAACUAUGCACGUCUUGACGGUACCUAAUCAGAAAGCCACGGCUAACUACGUG
rnacentral:rRNA from 1 species